UGUGCCUUGGUUCAUCUUCUUUUUCUUCUUCUUCUUCAAGAAGAAACCGAGCCACCAAGAGUAGCUUCCAUCAAGCUUUUGAAACUUGAUUUGCUUCUGUGAAAUGCCUUUGAGGACCUCAAGAGGAUGAUUGGACAAUGAAGAUGGAGAUUGAAGGAGAACAACAAUCACUCCUACAAGCUUCUUCCAUCACAAGGUCAAUAGGAGGAAUCCGACUUAUUAGAGUUAUGUUUGUUGUGAACAUAAUGGAUACUUUGGAUUGGUGAGGUGGCGUAAUGAAGGGUGAAGAUGUUACCGUGAGGAGUGAUAAGGAAUUGGUGUGGUCGAGUGGUGUAACUAAGUUACAUUAGUUGUCUAUAAUAAUGUUAGGGGAUAAAGUCAUGUGGGUUGGCAACAUAGAAGUGUCAGAGGAUUUUUAAAUGAGUGAAAAGGAUUGUUUGACCAAGAAGAGGUUGUAGAAACGCUUGGCAAGUUUUGGGGAUGGAUAACGAGCCAAAUUUGUCUGUUAGUAAAAUUGGAGUUUGAGGAGAACAUAAGUUCCCAAUGUGAAGAGAAGUUGCGAAAAGGGGUGGACUGGAUCAAGGAUAAGCCUUGGUAUAUUGAAAAAUGGAUGGAGGGUGUUUUCCAUAAAGAGCCUUGUAUGGAGACAUGCCAAUUACAAAGUGAAAAGUAGUAUUGUACUAAUAUUUUGCAAUGUGGAGAAAUGCAAACCAAAAGCGCGAUCUGCCACUUGCAAAACAAAAGAGGUGUACCAUGAAGCUUCCAAAUGUCAGUUGAAAAGCAUGGUGUGAAUUUUUCAGCAAUGAAAUAGGACAAAAGACACACAAAAUGAACGUAUUUCGUGAGGCAAUUGCAAAGAACCCAUAUGACAAUAUGACCAAAAGAGUUGGGUAAGUGAGUAACAAAGUCCACGGUGAUGUCUUCCUACACCCUUUCUAGUAUUGGCAAUGGAUGUAACGGGCCUUGUGUUUUCUUAGGCUGAUAUUUACCUGUUUGGCAGAUGAAACCAUUGUGAAUGUAAUGUUUGGUGUUUGUAUAUCGUCCUAGCUAGUAGAAAUUUGCAGUAAUGCAAUCCAUUAUGGGUUUUAAACUGGAGUGGCCUACCGAAGGAAAACCAUGGAGUUCCUAUAAUAUGGAAUUACAAAAUUCAGAGGGUAAGAAUAUCCUAUUUUGGAAAUAAAGCAAUCCAUUUGUAAAGUGAAAAUCAAAGUUGUUUCCAUGUAUUGUAUAAUUUUUAACCAAUUUUUAACCCCCUAUAUCAGUGGCAUAGUAUUGACACAUCUAUUUAGGAAUAGUAGGAAAAGGAGAAGAAGUGGCAACAAAGGAUAAGGCUGGUUGGGCCAUUGCUCCAAAAUUAGGUAGUUCCGAUCAAGAAAAGGGCAUCAACCACUUGAUUGUGCUUGCUAGGGUGGUAAAAAAACCUCAA